CCUACGGGUGGCAGCAGUGGGGAAUAUUGCACAAUGGCGGAAAGGCUGAUGCAGCGACGCCGCGUGAGGGAAGAAGUAUCUCGGGAUGGAAAGCUCUAUCAGCAGGGAAGUAAAUGUCGGUACGUGAGGAAGAUGGCACGGAUAACUCCGGGACGGCAGCCGCGGUAAUACGUAGGGGGCAAGCGUUAUCCGGAUUUAGUGGGUUUAAAGGGGGCGUAGACGGCUGUAUAAGUCGGGAGUGAAAGGCCGUGGUUUAACCAUGAAACUGCCGUAGAAACUGUGAAGCUAGAGUGCAGUAGAGGUAAGGGGAAUGCGUAGUGUAGCGGUGAAAUGCGUAGAUAUCAGGCGGAACACCAGUGGCGAAGGCGGCUUACUGGGCUGUAACUGACGUUGAGGCUCGAAAGCGUGGGGAGCAAACAGGAUUAGAUACCCGUGUAGUC
rnacentral:rRNA from 1 species